CCAUGGCAAGUCGUACGAGAAAUUCCGAUUCGUCGGGAGAGUAAAGUGGCGAANGGNGUGAGUAACACUAGGGUAAUCUCCCCUUAAAUAAGGGAUAACGUUGCGAAAGCGACGCUAAUACCUUAUAAGACUACGAUCUCCUAGGAGAUAGUAGGAAAAGAUGGCCUCUGUUUCAAGCUAUCGUUUAAGGAUGAGCCCUAGCACUAUUAGCUAGUUGGUGAGGUAAUGGCUCACCAAGGCUACGAUGGUUAGCUGGUCUGAGAGGAUGACCAGCCACACUGGAACUGAGACACGGUCCAGACUCCUACGGGAGGCAGCAGUGAGGAAUAUUGCGCAAUGGGGGAAACCCUGACGCAGUGACGCCGCGUGAGUGAUGAAGGCUUUCGAGUUGUAAAGCUCUGUUAGGUGGAAAGAAACUUCACAGCGCUAAUAUCGCUGAGAAUUGACGGUACCACCAGAGGAAGCACCGGCUAACUCCGUGCCAGCAGCCGCGGUAAUACGGAGGGUGCAAGCGUUGUUCGGAUUUACUGGGCGUAAAGGGCGUGUAGGCGGUUAGUUAAGUCAGAUGUGAAAUCCCUUAGCUUAACUAAGGAAGUGCAUUUGAAACUGGCUAACUAGAGUACAGGAGAGGAAAGUGGAAUUCCCAGUGUAGAGGUGAAAUUCAUAGAUAUUGGGAGGAACACCGGUAGCGAAGGUGGCUUUCUGGUCUGAUACUGACGCUGAGACGCGAAAGCGUGGGUAGCAAACAGGAUUAGAUACCCUGGUAGUCCACGCCGUAAACUAUGGGAACUAGGUGUAGGAAGUGUUGACCCUUUCUGUGCCGAAGCUAACGCAUUAAGUUCCCCGCCUGGGGAGUACGGUCGCAAGGCUAAAACUCAAAGGAAUUGACGGGGGCCCCGCACAAGCGGUGGAGCAUGUG
rnacentral:rRNA from 1 species